ensembl:lncRNA
GCAUGGGUCCUGUCUCCACCUCAGACUGCUAUUCAGGUGACUCUUGUCACCAUAAGACGUUAGAGUUUAACUUUUAUUAUUGUUGUUGGGUAAUAUUGUAUGUGUUGAACUAUUUGUUCAAUUAUUUGAAGAAGUCAUUGUACAAUUAAUGCACAAUAUAUUUCCAAUUUAGAUAUUGGAGUGGAUCUGCAAAGGCAUAAAUCCUCUGCAUGGAGUCUAUCCUGGAUCUAAACUAGUCUUUUUUUUAUUAGUCAAACAAAUUUUAAAGAUUUAGAAAUCUUUUUAUUUUUGUGGUCUUUUCUAUUCCAUGUUAAUGGGGCUGACAUCACUACACCAGCUAUAAAAGUGUUUGUUUUUAUUUCUUUUGAAAAAUUGGAAAUAGUAAUAACUUUACUGCAGUGGUAACACUUUGCAAAUCCAUCCAGGGGAAUAAAAUGCACCCUUUGGUGCCGCUGCUGGCCCAUGAUGUAGGCCAGUGGUGUUAAACAUUACAUCUAGGUUAGAUCUGAGUGAGUGUACAACCCAGUUUGGCCUAGAUCUUACCUGGAUGUGUGGACUGUGAGUUUCACAAGCCUGAUCUAAUGUUUGUUUUGUUUUUUUUUUUACCCAUCCUCUAAGAUUUCACGCAACUGUAUUACACCAGUUGUUCUAAAUCCAUGAUCCAUUUGUUUUAGCUAGUGAAGUCUGUGGUGUUGUGUGUAUGGGAUAGUCUGAAAACCUUAAACAAUGUAAACAUCAUCUGUUGGAAAGGUCACAAUGUUUUAACUUUUUUAUUGGUAAUCCUAAUUUCUUAAAAAAAAAGUUUGUGUGAUAUUUAUGACUAAUAUUAAAAAAGAGAGAAACAGAAUGCAUGUUUGAACAGCUUUAUGAUGACCUAUAAUUAUGUUUGGUUGUCACUUCACCCUCUAGUGGCCUUAGUUAUGUCGGAAACGAAGGAGGAAGUAAAAGCCGUGGAAUUGAGUAUAUGUGUGGGGAAGAGUUUGGGUUGGAUGGACUGAUGAUGAUGGUCCUUUCAAGCUUUGACUCGUGACUUGUGGUCAGUCUCUGGCAUAAACAGUGUUUUUAUGUUCACAACCAUGCCUUUCCUACUGACUUUCCAAGUUUGUGCUAAUUGCAGCCUUGACUACGUUUCUGUUAUUGUUAUCUUGAUCGUGAAAUUCCUUCUUUUUCUUUUCUUUUUUUUUUUAAAUCCCAAACCCAUUCCCCUCCCAUCAGACUUGCAGAUGUUUGGGAGUGGUUAUUGCAGCCUAGCGAGUUAUCAGCUCAAGUUACGCCAUCUUCUCUUCUCCAAUGUGGUUUACUUGUGGAACAGCUAUGUUUGACUCUUGAUGCUGAUCAGGAGGAUGGUGUGGUUUUUCUCCUCACAGCUCAGUUGGGUCAUGUAGGCAUUUUGGAAGGGCAGUGUACCUUGCUUUGCUCAUUUUUCCUUCUCAUAAUAACUGAGCUCUAGCAUGAGAACUAGUUUUUGAAGUGCAGCUUUAUUUAUUUACACAGUUAAGUGCAAAUGAUGACCUAUGUGAACUUGCUUUUAGGCUAAGUUUUAAUUUCCAAAUAGCUGGUAUGACUGGGCUCCAAAGGAGAUGUGGUUGAGAAGAACGCUCCUCUGGGUCAUUGUAUGCAAGCACAAGCGCAUGUGUGCUCUCAAUUACAGUGUAGUGUUCCCAGGGUCUCCACCUUCUGUGUUUCAGAGUGAGAAGCUGCUAGAGGAGGUUAGUUACAUAAGCCUGUUGGGUGUUGCGUCAUUGUUUUGGGGGCCCCAGUUCAGAGAGCUGGGGCUGAGACUUCAGUUGGGUCUGAUGGACCACUGCCUCCCACAAAUCCAACCACCCCCCUCCAUUGAAAGCAGAUGCUCAAUGACUCUCCUGCUGGGAGACAUGGCUCAGUAUUGGCAAUGAAAUGAGGCUCCACCUGUAGCA